GAAAGGGGUGCGUGCGCGUUUGUGCUAAAACAAGAAAGGCAAGAAUCUCCGAGAACAAAACUCUGGUCCUCGCCUGGCCGGGGACCGCAGAAGACAGGGGCGGCAGCGCCAAGGCGGGUCAGGGGCCGGUCCAGCCAAGUUUGCUCCGGCUUAGAUAAACUUUCUGAUGGCAGUUUUUCCUGGUUGCAGCCUGGGUUCCUUGUAACAGGAUGGAGACGAGAGAUCUGGACUUCUGAACAUCUACCGGAAAAGAUAAAAUGUGCAAGCCCUUCAGAACGCUGGGGAGGUUGGGCUGAACUGCAGUGGGAGAGGAGAAGAGAUGCUGGCGUGAAGGGGAUUGAUUGCUGAUUACCAUGGAGAAGCAGGCAAGGGAUUAUGAAGAGAAAGACAGGAGGGAUAUCUUAAAAGCUUUCAUUGUGGUCUGAUGGGAGCAGAUCUGGA
rnacentral:lncRNA from 1 species